UACGUAGGGGGCUAGCGUUGUCCGGAUUUAUUGGGCGUAAAGAGCUCGUAGGCGGUGUGUCGCGUCGGCCGUGAAAACCUGCAGCUUAACUGUGGGCUUGCGGUCGAUACGGGCAUCACUGGAGUUCGGCAGGGGAGACUGGAAUUCCUGGUGUAGCGGUGAAAUGCGCAGAUAUCAGGAGGAACACCGGUGGCGAAGGCGGGUCUCUGGGCCGAUACUGACGCUGAGGAGCGAAAGCGUGGGGAGCGAGCAGG
rnacentral:rRNA from 1 species